AAUUCCUAUAAAUAGCCAUCUUAAGGAUAGUGAAACCUCAGUUGUGGGAUAUCAAACACUUCCCAAUGGCAACUUCGAAAGUUCUUAGUAUUUUGUUCUUUGUGUUGUUAGGUUUCGGCAUUUGCUCUGCUGCUAGAACACUCCUCACCUUUGGUGUAGAUCAUCGCAUUGGUGCAGGUUACCAUGGUGACAUUGGUGUGAGUGGUGGUGGAGGUCAUGGAGGUGGUGGAGGUGGAGGUUCUGCCGGUGGUGUAGAUGGACAUGGGGGAGGAGCUGGUGGCGGUGAAGGUGUUGGAGGUGGUGGAGGAUAUGGAGGUGAUGGUGGUGGUGGGGGUGGUGGAGGAGGAACUGGAGGUGGUGGCGGUGGAGGUGGGUCUGAAGGUGGUGGAUAUGGUGCAGGAGCUGGGAAAGGUGGUGGGGAAGGAUAUGGUGGAGAUGUAGCACAUGGCGGUGGUUAUGCUGUUGGAGGGGGAGGUGGAACUGGUGGAGGUGGAGGCGCUGGUGGUGGGUCUGAUGGUGGUGGAUAUGGUGGAGGAGCUGGGAAAGGUGGUGGGGAAGGAUAUGGUGGGGGUGCAGCACAUGGCGGUGGAUAUGCUGGCGGAGGGGGAGGUGGAAGUGGUGGAGGUGGAGGUGGUGGUGGUGGUGCUGGGGGAGCUGGUGGUGGUUAUGGAGGUGGAGAAGGAGGUGGAGCAGGAGGUGGAUAUGGAAGAGAUCAUGGAGGAGGAUACGGAGGUGGAGGUGGAAGUGGAGGUGGUGGAGGAGGUGGUGCUGGUGGAGCGCAUGGCGUUGGAUACGGUAGUGGUGGAGGAACCGGUGGUGGAUAUGGGGGUGGGUCGCCUGGGGGUGGUGGUGGAGGUGGUGGCUCUGGUGGAGGCGGAGGUGGUGGAGGUGCGCAUGGAGGAGCAUAUGGUGGUGGUAUUGGAGGUGGUGAAGGUGGCGGCCAUGGUGGAUAUGAGCCCUGAGGAUUCAAUGCAAUUCAAUGUUAUGAAAGAACUCCUAGCACCUCUUAACUAUAAUAAUACCAAGAAUAAGAUAUGGUUACGAGGAUGCUUAUAAACUAUCACUAAAAUUUAUCUUUGCAUGUACGUGAAAAAUGUUGAAUGAAUGCAAAUUGAUUCUCUAGUCGAAGAUUUAUAAUGGUUUAUAAUAUGUCAUUGCAUGGUAUAAUUUCAAUCAAUUUAUGUCGAUAUGCGCUAUGCCACCAAUUAAAAACAUACAUUCAAUAAUCAAAACUCUAUUCCUUCAAAAAUAAAAUAAAAAUCAAAGCUCUAUUUUUGUAAGUGAAGUUUAUUAAUAAGAAUACACGAACCAACACGACCCGUUAAUUACCCGAACCUGAACAUUGACGGUUCUAAUCGACCUAAUUCACUAUAAUCCGCAAAGUUUGGUUCGAUAAUUGAGUUUAAGUUUUUGAACUCGUGGAUGCGAUCCGUUAGUAUUGAUUUCUUAUAUUAUUAUUAUUUAAAGUAAAAAGAGUUGAGAAAUAUGUGUUUAUUUAUUUUUUAUCUAAGUUCAAUUUCUAUCAAAAACAAUUAUGGGCCCAACCUAACUCUAAUUUCAUUUACAAUAGAUUCUCAUUCUAAACCACAAUAUUUUUUCGAAUUUAAAAAAUAAUAGGCUUAAAUAUAUUUAUCAUCCUUUAACUUUUAUUAAAAAUUCAUUUUAGUCCUUUAUAUUAUUUUAAAUAGUUUUAGUCCUUUAUCUGUUUGAAAAGGGUGAUUUUAGUCCUUAUAUUCAUUGAUUUGGGUAUGCCAAAAGGACUAAACCAUCACUUUUUAAAAAGAUAAACUAAAACAAUUUAGAAAGAUAAAGGACGAAAACGAGUUUUCAGUAGAAGAUAACGGACAAAAAAAAAUAGAUUUAGGUUAAAAUAAUAAUUUUUUUUAUCAAGUUUAUAUUUUAGACGCACAACCCGCGAACCCAAUUCAUUUACAAUUGGGUUGAUUUGGUUUGGGUUUGAUAUGAAAUACGAGUUGGGUGACUAACCCGCCCCGUUGAAAGUUAAAUAGAUUGGAUAACAGGUUUGACCAAACCCAAUCUAACCUAACUCGUAUACACCCUUAGAUACAACUAAUGUAGGUACCCGAGUCAAUCAUGGACUAGAUAAUCUGAGCUAUACUUUUUUUAAAAUUUAUUUAUAUAAAAAUAUUUGAAAAUGAUAGAGUGAAUGAAUUAAAAUUUCAAUACACAAAAAAAAUAAAUUAAAGAAUUAAAAAAACUCUAACAUAAAAUUAUCCUAUUUUAUAUACUUGGAAGAUUUUUCGCAUGAUGGGUGUUUUGAAUUUAAGCUUUACCUUACGCUUCUUUGCAAUAUUUGUUAUAAAGAGAUUUGUUUUUUGGGAUAAGUAAUAGAUACAUGGAAGUGAGUUGUGUAAAAGGGAUAGUGUAGGAUUUAUAGAUAGAAGGAAAAACUACUAAAGGAAAAUGUUAGAUAUCAAAAAUAAUUUUAUCAAAAAUGAUAUGACACAAUAAUCAUCCUUAGAUUUCAAUCUCAUUUAUUAACCUUUUAUAAAACAAAAAUACAUAACACCCACCAUCCCAUGAUUUCCGUCUAGGCUGAGAUUUUAUUGGCUAACAUUAAUUUGAAGACAAUUUUUUAAUAAAAUCUAAGGAUGAUUAUUUUACCAUGUCAUUCUUGAAUUUUUCUUAAUAAGAUCUUUAUUGAUAUAUAGCAUUGCUCAAAACUAAAUCGUUCCUCUUCUUGAAGUAACCCGUUGAACAAAAACAUACCGAAAUUGAAGAAGAUAACGUAAAUAGAAUGGGAUGAGUAGGCUUAGAGAAAUCAAAGAAAACCAAAUACUAUUAAAAAACACAAAAUCUGAAAAAAACAUUCAAAAUAAUAGUAAUGAUCAGGAGAGCAAAAUUGUCGAACAAAAAGUGACACCUCAUAUACCCCAUCAAAAUACAUAUUUUGAACGCAUUCGUUGUUCAAAAGUCAAAACAAACUUCAAGCGUCUAUUUGACAGACUAUAAACUAGCUUAUAGUAUAGCUUAUAAACUUGUAUGACUUUAUUAGAUAGUUGAACCGUUAAUUUUAUCAAACGCUUCGGUUAACUUAUCAGUUAACAUCUAUCAAUUAUCAGUGAUAUGCUCUUCAAAAAAAAUUAUUAGUGAUAUGUUAUAAGCUAUAAACUAUCAGCUCUCAGCCAUCAAUUAGUUUAUCAACUAUCCGUUGUUUUUAUCAAACAUAGCCUAAAUGCCUAAUUUUUUUUUCAAGGUUUUGUGAGCCAUAUUACUAUUACUAUAGUCAUGUGCAAGGUUGUCAAAAUCGGGGAAAUAGCAAAAUUAGGAUUCGUAAAAUCGCAAUCAAAAUCGAAGGAUUUUACUCAAGGACUUUUGUAGAUAAAUGAUAUUUGUACAACCACUUUGUGACAACUUUUUGACAACUUACUCUUUCAUACUCACACUAUACUCUUAUUCUCUUUCUUCAUUUUUCUCUCUCUAUUAAUUUUGACCAAUGAAAAGAGAGAGAAAAGAAGUUGUCACAUAAGUUGCCCAACAUGGUUGUUCAAAUAUAGGAAAUUGUAAAAUCACAAUCAAAAUCGAUGGAUUUUACCAGCAAAAAAAAAUACUAAAUACAUGUUAUAAAUGGUAUAUAGUCAUAAAUGACUUAGUUUAUAAGAAAUUGUAAAAUUGUAAUCAAAAUUGAUGAAUUUUGCUUAUUUUAGAAUUCUACUAUGGAUUUCAGUUGUUGAAGGUGAAUAAAACCGCAAAAUCCUGAAUUUUAGGAUCUAAGUUUGAAUUUUGACAACAAUGGUCAUGUGAGCGAAAUAAAAAUAUAUUAGGAUAUUUUGGAAUGAGCACUACAGAGUUUGCAUUGAAAGUACACAACUUGUUAUAGAGAAAUAAAUAAUCAUGAGUUUUAAUAAAAAUAACUUUAUAUAAUUUCUAAUAUCCUCAAAACUAUUUACAGUCUUUUUGGUGUAUAUCGGAGUCUGGUUUCAACAUAAGAUGAACACGAUUUUGAUCUAUUUUCUCGUAGUUUCAUCAAAAGUAUGCCCGUAUUUUUGUGGUUAUGGAUUUAUCACCACACAUUUUUGAAGAAAUUAUGGUAGAAAGAGAGGGUUUUGCCUUCAACUUGGUGGUGGUUUACAAAAGGUUACCAGAUUUUUGUUCACAUUGUAAGAUCAUUGUCCAAAAUGUCACUGACUGUUGCUGGUUUCAUCCAAAGAAAGUUCUUGAUAAGGUUGAUUGUGGUAAAAAAAACCGAAGCAUGUUCACAAGCCAACAAUUUAGAAAUAUGUUGAAUAACACAAAGAAUUCAAGUAUUGGCUCCUUUAAAUAAUUUGAAGCACAUGUUGAUAAGAGUGGUGCUAAUUAGUUGCUGAUCAUCCCCAUCCAUCAGUCCUAUUCACCCUGUAUUGACUAAGAAUCAAACGAAGAGUAAUCAAAUUGCUUGGAAGGAUGCAUAUAAGACUUGAUCCAAGGGUUGAACUCAAGGGGGGUUAAGAAGUAAAAUUUAACCUCCGAGUUGUUUCUUUUCCUUUUGCUUUUCUAUUUUUACUUUCUUUUGAACUUCUUGAGGAUUUUACAAUGAGUUCAUAAAUCAUGUUCUUAGCUUUUUCUUGAUUUUCUCUUUCAAUUAGACAAAGCUUUUUUGUUUUAAGUGUGGUGUUGUGAACACCAACGAAGUUUUUUUCCUUUAUCCUUUAAAAAGUGUAACAAACUAGAUGAGUAUAUAUAUUUAUAUUUACUUUUUCAUUAUCUUAAUUAUACAUUUAAACAACUAAUUCUAUAUAAAGAUUGUUGUUGGGGUCAUUAAAAAAAAGAAUUUAAAUUAUAUUUUUUUGUUAUAUUGCUAGUCAUUGAAAUAGAUAGAUAUAUAAUCAUGGUUAGUUUAAUUUCUUAUAAUUUGAAAGCAAAAAAUAUUUAUAUUUUUACUUUUAUUCAAAAUCAAAAUUUCCUAAAAACACAGUUCAUAAUUUUCAAACGCUAGCGCAAUAAAAAGAGCGGAGAGACGGACACGUGAAUGCUCGUCUUUUCGCAACUGUACAAUAAAUAAAAUAAAUAUACAAAUAAGCACAAUAUAGAAAUGAAACGAUUUAGAGUCUGUUUUAAAGGUGAUAUGAGAUAACGGAAAUUAGGUAAACAACAACAAAGAAAUGUUUUGCUAACGAGUGAUCUAAAAACACUAUUUAAAGAUUAUCAAUUAGAAAUUAUUCACUAAAAAGUUCUAACAUUUAAAUUUUCAAUGUAUUGAACAUACAAAUUCAAAAAUUUCAAGAUCAUUAACAUACUAUUUUCGAUCAUUGAAGAGUGUCUUUAGGGCAUUUAUUAGCAUUUCCCUUUCAUUUGAAAAAAAAAUAACAAAGCUCUUUGCCCAACACAAUGAGAAUUCGAUCGAGCUAAUGGAUUACAGCAAAAUCACACUACAGUUGGUCUAAUAGUGUGAGUAUGUACUUGUUUGUAUCCCACCUUGUGGGGACAAUUACAUUUCUCUUCUCUGCAUGUGCUUGGGCCACUCUCUCGGCACAAAGAAUUUCUAAGGUGCACUAUAGAAACAAACCUUCGAUUUCAAUUUAUGUCAUAUCUAUAUCAUUACUUCUACUACAUGUGACAGCACAAAACGCACUUUUACAAUCUCAUCCCAAUUUGAUUCCUAUAAAUACCCAUCUCAAGGAUAUGACAUUUCAACAUUUUCCAUAAUGACAAUUUCGAAAGUUCUUGGUAUUUUUUUCUUUGUGUUGUUAGGUUUCGGUAUUUGCUCUGCCGCUAGAACACUCCUCACCUUUGGUGUAGAUCAUGGCAUUGGUGCAGGUUUCCAUGGUGACAUUGGUGUGAGUGGAGGUGGAGGUUAUGGCGGUGGUGGAGGUGGAGGACAUGGUGGUGUAGGUGGACAUGGAGGAGGAGCGGGGGGAGGUGAAGGUGC
rnacentral:lncRNA from 1 species